CUCAGUCGUGAACUGGAGCAGCAGCCAGAAAGAGAGUAAGACAAUGGUGAAUGAGAAGAGGCCAGGCAACAGGAACCUGCAAGCUCAUCCAUCCACAAACAUCCACUGAGCACCUGCCACGCGCUGGGCCCCGUGCAUUCAGCAACAAAAUGAACUAAACUAAGUGAGCUUCCAGCAGUGAUGGGACCCACUCAGCAUCACCAUUCUGCACAGCCUAUCCGCAGCCCCUCUCCAAUAACCCACCAUCGUUUCCCACCAAACAAAUGAAGAAAGAGUGCAGCCUUCAGUUCAGUCUUCAAUGUGUCUUCAUUUGUUUGCAACCGCUGAACACAGCUAUCAGAUAUCACUGUGGCCUGGGACUCUCAGCUUCCAGCAAGUGGGAGCCCCACCUGGCUCAUCCACUUCAAGAGGAUUGCAUGCUAAUGAAUUAAUACACACAAGAAAGUGCUGCAAACUCUACAAUCCUAUAUAAAUCUUAAGAAGAUUAGAAGUUUACCAAAUGCUCUGUAAUGCAUUUUGAAGGGCUAUCCCUUAAAAGAAACUGACCACACUAGAAAUCAAGACAAGCUUUUACAA
rnacentral:antisense_RNA from 1 species